CCUACGGGUGGCAGCAGUGGGGAAUAUUGGACAAUGGGGGCAACCCUGAUCCAGCCAUGCCGCGUGUGUGAAGAAGGCCCUCGGGUUGUAAAGCACUUUCAGUGAGGAAGAACGCCUGGUGGUUAAUACCCAUCAGGAAAGACAUCACUCACAGAAGAAGCACCGGCUAACUCCGUGCCAGCAGCCGCGGUAAUACGGAGGGUGCGAGCGUUAAUCGGAAUUACUGGGCGUAAAGCGCGCGUAGGUGGCUUGAUAAGCCGGUUGUGAAAGCCCCGGGCUCAACCUGGGAACGGCAUCCGGAACUGUCAAGCUAGAGUGCAGGAGAGGAAGGUAGAAUUCCCGGUGUAGCGGUGAAAUGCGUAGAGAUCGGGAGGAAUACCAGUGGCGAAGGCGGCCUUCUGGACUGACACUGACACUGAGGUGUGAAAGCGUGGGUAGCAAACAGGAUUAGAUACCCUUGUAGUC
rnacentral:rRNA from 1 species